rnacentral:rRNA from 1 species
UACGUAGGAGGCGAGCGUUGUCCGGAGUUACUGGGCGUAAAGGGUGUGUAGGCGGUUGUUUAAGUUUGGUGUGAAAUCUCCCGGCUCAACUGGGAGGGUGCGCCGAAUACUGAAUGACUUCGAGUGCGGGAGAGGAGAGUGGAAUUCCUGGUGUAGCGGUGAAAUGCGUAGAUAUCAGGAGGAACACCGGUGGUGUAGACGGCUCUCUGGACCGUAACUGACGCUGAGACACGAAAGCGUGGGUAGCAAACAGG